GCCUCCCGCCCUUCCCAUUCCCGCCUGUUCCCCUUUUCUCCUCAGUCGCCUCGCUCCUACAGUGACCAAAGACUCGACCACUCGAAGUCCAGCUCCCCAGAACAGUGCUCAACAUGGAUACCGGUGUGAUUGAAGGUGGAUUAAAUGUCACUCUCACCAUCUGGCUACUUAUACAUGGAAAGGAAGUUGGCGGUAUCAUUGGAAAGAAAGAAGAAUCAGUUAAGAAGAUGUGUGAGGAGAGUGGUGCAUGUAUCAGCAUCUCAGAAGGGAAUUGUCCUGAAAGAAUUAUCACUUUGGCUGGACCCACUAAUGCCAUCUUCAAAGCCUUUGCUAUGAUCAUUGACAAACUGGAAGAGGACAUCAGCAUCUCUAUGACCAAUAGCACAGCUGCCAGUAGACCUCCAGUUACCCUGAGGCUAGUGGUUCCUGCUAGUCAGUGUGGCUCUCUCAGUGGAAAAGUUGGCUGCAAGAUCAAGGAAAUAUGAGAGAGUACAGGGGCUCAGGUCCAGGUGGCAGGGGAUAUGCUACCCAACUCAACUGAGCGGGCCAUCACUAUUGCUGGCAUUCUGCAAUCCAUCGUUGAGUGUGUCAAACAGAUCUGCGUGGUCAUGUUGGAGACUCUCUCCCAGUCCCCCCCAAAGGGCGUGACCAUCCCAUACCGGCCCAAGCUGUCCAGUUCUCCAGUCAUCUUUGCAGGUAGUCAGGCCUAUACCAUUCAAGGACAGUAUGCCAUUCCACAGCCACAUUUGACCAAGCUGCACCAGUUGGCAAUGCAACAGUCUCAUUUUCCCAUGACGCAUGGCAACACCGGAUUCAGUGGCAUUGAAUCUAGCUCUCCAGAGGUGAAAGGCUACUGGGCAGAUUUGGAUGCAUCUGCUCAGACGACUUCUCAUGAACUCACCAUUCCAAAUGAUUUGAUUGGCUGCAUCAUCGGGCGUCAGGGCGCCAAAAUCAAUGAGAUCCGUCAGAUGUCUGGGGCGCAGAUCAAAAUUGCAAACCCAGUGGAAGGAUCUACUGACAGGCAGGUUACCAUCACUGAAUCUGCUGCUAGCAUUAGCCUGGCUCAAUAUCUAAUCAAUGUCAGGCUUUGCUCGGAGACGGGUGGCAUGGGGAGCAGCUAGAACAAUGCAGAUUCAUCCAUUAUCCCUUUCUGCUGUUCACCACCACCCAUGAUCCAUCUGUGUAGUUUCUGAACAGUCAGGGAUUCCAGAUUUUAAAUAGUUUGUAAAUUUUCAGUUUCUACACACUUUAUCAUCCACUCAUGAUUUUUUAAUUAAAGCGUUUUAAUUCCUUU